rnacentral:rRNA from 1 species
UACGUAUGGGGCGAGCGUUGUCCGGAUUCAUUGGGCGUAAAGGGUGCGUAGGCGGCGAGGCAAGUCUGGUGUGAAAUCCCGGGGCUCAACCCCGGAACUGCACUGGAUACUGCUUUGCUAGAGUACUGGAGAGGGAACUGGAAUUUACGGUGUAGCAGUGAAAUGCGUAGAUAUCGUAAGGAAGACCAGCGGCGAAGGCGAGUUCCUGGACAGUUACUGACGCUGAGGCACGAAGGCCAGGGGAGCAAACGGG